CCCUCUCUCCAGCCGGCUGCGGGGAGAUGCAGAGCGCACGGAACUGCAGCAACUCCGCUGAGGGCCCCGGGAAUGCGGAACUAUCCCCUUCCCGCGGGCAGCGCCGCCGCCUCAGCGUCAGCACGGCCCCUCCCUCUCCCGCGGGCAGUCCUGGGGCUCGGGGCACCCCCCCGCCGCCCCCGCCUCGCCGGCAGGGCGGCCCCGGCUGCCCCCCCUUGCCGCGGAGCAGCUGCUGCUGCUAUUCGGGAACAGGGCGGCGCCCACCCGAGACACCCACAGGGAAAGGCGAAUCCCGCUGCGCCCCAGGCUCCUCGGAGCGCCUCUUACCCGGCCCCUGCGGCUCUGCCUCCCAGCACAGCUGGGCUCCGGACCCCACACUGCCUUUGCCGCCGCCGCUCAGCUGACCGGCCGCUCCCCCGGCUGCUGCGGCACAAGUCCCCGGGGAAAGAGGCGGGGCUGAGCACGCCGGCCCCGCCCCCUCGCCUUGGCCCUAUAGCGACGAGUGACAACGACAGCAGCAGCUUUCCGCCCCCUACCGGGCUGAGACGUGGGUGCCGCUGCCUGGAGCUGCUGGGGCGGCUCCAUAGUGGGGAAGCAGGUACCUCCCCACAGGAUUUCUUUUUGAAUUUCAGGUCAUUAAAGAGCUCCUAAUGGCGCUAAUGCCGAGGAGGAAAGGAAGAGAAGUGCCAACCCCCAGCUAUCUUAGAGACCCUCACAAGCAAAUCCAAAACCCGAGAGAAGAUCCAACUCCUUUCCUAUCCCAACAAUUGCCGAUAUAGAUCUCAACUGCAAGCGGAUAGAGGAGCCUGUCCACAUGCCCUCCCAGAGAGCCUCCACAACAAGAGGGGCCACACCUUAAGAGAACUCAGCUUCUACACACACAUGUUCUCUUUCCCAAAGGUUGAAAUAUUCAGGAUAACCCAGUAUUAUCCACUAGAUGGCACAACAGUGACGUUAUACUGCUCUCCUCUGCUAGCUGAAUAUCUUGGGCUUCAUUUUGAUCUCACAUUGGUUUUACACCAAUAUAACUGUACUGAAAUCAGUACACUCACUCCUGAUUCACAGACUCAGCUGAGAUCAGAAUCCCUUCUCUCAAUGCAAUAUACCUAUCAGUAUUUUGUUUUGGAUUUGUAUUUUUGAUCAAAAAUGUCCUUUUCAGAGAAGAGACUUUGGAACUUGAGGGACAAUUUACUUUGAUUCACAGCAUAUGGACAGCUCUGUCUACUUUUAAUGUCUUCUUAUGGUAGUGUGUAAUGCUUGUGCUAUAAAGCAGAGGUUCCCAAACUGUGGUUUCCAGGCUGUCGGUGGCCCAUGGAGAUCUUCCGAGUGAGCACAUGGUGCUGGCUUCUCAUCUGCAGCAGCUAUUUUACGUUACAAGACCGAUAAAAAUACAUGAAAUAUUUAACUGAUAGUAUUCUUCCUUGUAACCAAUUGUUGUUGUUGCCAGAAUGAUGUCACAGGAUGGGAGGAAAGGCAGGGCUGCCGAGACCGGGUUUGGGCCCCAGUGAAAAUUUUUUUCGGGCCCCCCAGCAAAGCUAAACAGAGUCGCCAAAGCCAGGCCCCGGGCCCCUUUCCAGACCGUUGGGCCCAGGUAAUUUGUACCGGCUUCCCCACUCCUCCUCUCCAUCGGCCCUGAGGAGAGGAAAAUCACAAUACAAACCCAAUCGCCCCAAGAGAAGCGAAAGAUAAAUGCUUCUAAGCAAUAUUAUCUGUCAGACUGUCUCAUCUAUUCAUUGCUAGAGCUUCCAGCCCUGUAGCAUUUGGGUGCUGCGUUCAGGUUUAAAUAACUGUCUGAUUAUGUGCCAUCUUCGCUGCUCCUCUUGAGGCAAAAUCAUGUUUCAUGUGCCCAUAUUAGGCAGAGGAAAACUAAGGGGAAUAAGAGGAAAAACAAGGGGGUGGCUGAUUUUCAGAAGUACUGGCCCCCAAAAUUCUUUUUGAAGUCAAUGGAAGGUGUGGGUACUCAGCAUCUCUGAAAUUCAGACCCCAGGCCAGUCUGUAUUCCUCCUUAUUGUGGGAAAGGCUUCAGGAAGAGGUGUGUCUUUCCCAGUGCCUGAAAUGAGGAGGAUUAUUCCAUACAGUGUACAGUGUUCUGAAAGUGAACUGGAAACAGAGUAAUGUGCUGUUGAACUGAUCAGACCCUGCUGCACUGGCUGGGCAUGUAAAGUUCCACUGAACAUUCUGCAAUAUAAAACUCUGAGUGCUUGUUAGAGGUCUCAGGAUUGAUCAGUCACAGCCCUCUUCUCCAAGGAGGGCUGCCAUUCGCCAUGAAUACUGAAAUAUCAUACAAGGGUGUGUGGCCCAUCCUCUUCCACCUCCCCCUCCCACCAAUUCUAAAGUCUCCUGCUAGCCAGGAAGGCUGGCAACCCUUUCUGUAGUACAUAUGGUUCACAGCUGUUUGCCCACAUUCUUAGUGAACACUUUCUUUAUAGAGCCUAAGUGAUACACAGGGCCUUGUCUACCAGCGUGAACU